GAGUGUGGAAGAUUACCACACAGAGUGACCCUGCCUCUUCCUCAAAGGUCGGGAAUGAGAAUAAAAAACUCACGGUGUCUGCUGGCAGAAACAGGAGGUGGAGUGGGGGAUAUGCCAGCCAUGGCCUGAAACCAGUAUCCAAGACUCAGUGGAGGAUGCUGGAUAGAGCAUGAGGGGCGACGUCAGGAGACCAGGAUGCAGCCUCUCCCAUACUGUCACCUACUGAGUCAACUUGAAUAAACGAUGAACCGCUCUGUAUGAGGUUCUGUUAUGUA